UACGUAGGGGGCAAGCGUUGUCCGGAUUUAUUGGGCGUAAAGAGCGUGUAGGCGGCCAGAUAGGUCCGUUGUGAAAACUGGAGGCUUAACCUCCAGCGGUCGAUGGAAACCAUUUGGCUAGAGUCCGGAAGAGGAGAGUGGAAUUCCUGGUGUAGCGGUGAAUGACGCAGAUAUCAGGAAGAACACCCGUGGCGAAGGCGGCUCUCUGGGACGGUACUGACGCUGAGACGCGAAAGCGUGGGGAGCGAACAGG
rnacentral:rRNA from 1 species